UUAUGUACCAUAGGCUCUGGUAGGCUGUUUGUCUCGUUAUGUACCAUAGGCUCUGGUGGGCUGUUUGUCUCGUUAUGUACCAUAGGCUCUGGUAAGCUGUUUGUCUCGUUAUGUACCAUAGGCUCUGGUGGGCUGUUUGUCUCGUUAUGUACCAUAGGCUCUGGUGAGCUGUUUGUCUGGUUAUGUACCGUAGGCUCUGGUGAGCUGUUUGUCUGGUUAUGUACCGUAGGCUCUGGUGAGCUGUUUGUCUAGGUAUGUACCGUAGGCUCUGGUGAGCUGUUUGUCUAGGUAUGUACCGUAGGCUCUGGUAGGCUGUUUGUCUAGGUAUGUACCGUAGGCUCUGGUAGGCUGUUUGUCUAGGUAUGUACCGUAGGCUCUGGUGAGCUGUUUGUCUAGGUAUGUACCGUAGGCUCUGGUAGGCUGUUUGUCUAGGUAUGUACCGUAGGCUCUGGUGAGCUGUUUGUCUAGGUAUGUACCGUAGGCUCUGGUAGGCUGUUUGUCUAGGUAUGUACCGUAGGCUCUGGUAGGCUGUUUGUCUAGGUAUGUACCAUAGGCUCUGGUAGACUGUUUGUCUAGGUAUGUACCGUAGGCUCUGGUAGGCUGUUUGUCUAGGUAUGUACCGUAGGCUCUGGUGAGCUGUUUGUCUAGGUAUGUACCGUAGGCUCUGGUAGGCUGUUUGUCUAGGUAUGUACCGUAGGCUCUGGUAGGCUGUUUGUCUAGGUAUGUACCAUAGGCUCUGGUAGGCUGUUUGUCUAGGUAUGUACCGUAGGCUCUGGUAGGCUGUUUGUCUAGGUAUGUACCGUAGGCUCUGGUAGGCUGUUUGUCUAGGUAUGUACCGUAGGCUCUGGUAGGCUGUUUGUCUAGGUAUGUACCGUAGGCUCUGGUAGGCUGUUUGUCUAGGUAUGUACCGUAGGCUCUGGUAGGCUGUUUGUCUCGUUAUGUACCGUAGGCUCUGGUAGGCUGUUUGUCUAGGUAUGUACCGUAGGCUCUGGUAGGCUGUUUGUCUAGGUAUGUACCGUAGGCUCUGGUAGGCUGUUUGUCUAGGUAUGUACCAUAGGCUCUGGUAGGCUGUUUGUCUAGGUAUGUACCGUAGGCUCUGGUAGGCUGUUUGUCUAGGUAUGUACCGUAGGCUCUGGUGAGCUGUUUGUCUAGGUAUGUACCGUAGGCUCUGGUAGGCUGUUUGUCUAUGUAUGUACCGUAGGCUCUGGUAGGCUGUUUGUCUAGGUAUGUACCGUAGGCUCUGGUAGGCUGUUUGUCUCGUUAUGUACCGUAGGCUCUAGUAGGCUGUUUGUCUAGGUAUGUACCGUAGGCUCUGGUAGGCUGUUUGUCUGGUUAUGUACCAUAGGCUCUGGUAGGCUGUUUGUCUGGUUAUGUACCGUAGGCUCUGGUAGGCUGUUUGUCUAGGUAUGUACCGUAGGCUCUGGUAGGCUGUUUGUCUGGUUAUGUACCAUAGGCUCUGGUAGGCUGUUUGUCUAGGUAUGUACCGUAGGCUCUGGUAGGCUGUUUGUCUAGGUAUGUACCGUAGGCUCUGGUAGGCUGUUUGUCUAGGUAUGUACCGUAGGCUCUGGUAGGCUGUUUGUCUAGGUAUGUACCGUAGGCUCUGGUAGGCUGUUUGUCUAGGUAUGUACCGUAGGCUCUGGUAGGCUGUUUGUCUAGGUAUGUACCGUAGGCUCUGGUAGGCCGUUUGUCUAGGUAUGUACCGUAGGCUCUGGUAGCAUGUUUGUCUAGGUAUGUACCGUAGGCAGUCGCAUUCAAACUGAGUAGCACUUUCAGGGAAGUCUUAACGCUCUCUAUC